ACGCUUAUGUAUAAUAAGACUCGGGACAAUUUAGCAGAACAUAUGUUGUAGCUGACUUUAGGUCCAUCUCAGUCAAAAAUCGAGUUGGACUAUGUUUUGGACCGCCUUUUCUAGGUUGCUUGAAUAUGGAAAAGGUUGGUGCCAAUGGAUCAGCAUUGCCACCAUCAUCUUGCCGAUAGGUCUAUUUAUUAAUAAUGGC
rnacentral:lncRNA from 1 species